rnacentral:rRNA from 1 species
UACAGAGGGUGCGAGCGUUAAUCGGAAUUACUGGGCGUAAAGCGUGCGCAGGCGGUUCGUUAAGUCAGCUGUGAAAGCCCCGGGCUCAACCUGGGAACGGCGGUUGAAACUGGCGAACUAGAAUCUGGCAGAGGGGGGUGGAAUUCCACGUGUAGCAGUGAAAUGCGUAGAGAUGUGGAGGAACACCGAUGGCGAAGGCAGCCCCCUGGGCUGAGAUUGACGCUCAGGCACGAAAGCGUGGGGAGCAAACAGG